GGAUAAAAAAAAUGGAUAACCGUUUUGGCGCGUUGAUCGAUGCAGACUCUUCAAAACUGAAAAAACGCGAGUCACUCUCACACUCUGUGCUUUCGUUCUUUGUGUUUUCUUUGUCUGGUUUCGCUGUUCUCGUGUUUAAUCGCUGUUUGGUUUCUUGAUUGCGUUGAAAACAUGAACACCGGUGGGAAACGUUGUUCAGCAUCAGAGUUUUCGGCGGUUCCGGAGAAAAGUGUUGAUCAAUCCGAGUUGCCUGCGGUGGAGAUGAAGUCUCCGGAGGAUGAGUCUGAGUUGGCGGCGGAGAAAAAGGUUGACGAGAGCGAGUGGAUGAAAAAAACCUUGGAAUCAGGAGGCACUGAGGAGUGUGAUAAGCUUAGGACCAUUAUCGUAUCAGAGUACUUUGCAAAAUUGACUCCGCGGCUUCAUGUUCUCAGAAACAUCGCUCUUUCCUUGUUGAAGGGGGACCCCGAGGAUCUUCACGGCUUAAUGCAAGAGUUGCUUUUACAACUUGAUGAAUUGAAUAAGAUCCCACUGGUUAAGGGAUUUUAUGGGAUUUCCACUGCUUUGAAAGCACAGUAUGAUUUGAGGGAUGAUCCUGAGAUAGAGACCUCUGAGCUUGAUGCAAGUAUUGCAAGGGAUGGUACUCCCACAGAGAUCCUUUGGUUGAAAGGGAGCUUGACUGUUUUGUUAACAAAAUUGGAAAAGACCAUCAAGGGUUUUGACAUAUUGCUACAUUCACCACUCCAACGUUGAACAUAGAAGUUGCUUUGCUGCCUUGAACAUAGAAGUUGCUUUGCUCUGGAAAUGAAGUUGCUUUGCUGCCUUGAACAUAGAAGUUGCUUUGCUCUGGAAAUGAAGUUGCUUUGCAUUGUAACUACAUUUGACAAUGUUUUUCAUACUAUGUGAUAGAUAUAUUGUGAUUGCCGAUGAGAUACUAUCUUGUGAUUGUGUAUAAUUUUUCGUUUAAGACUAUUAUACUAUAUGCAAAUGAACUAAAGAAUAUUAUAGCAUCAAUUAGGCUUUCUCUACCU